rnacentral:rRNA from 1 species
AUACGGAGGAUGCGAGCGUUAUCCGGAUUUAUUGGGUUUAAAGGGUGCGCAGGCGGGCGAUUAAGUCAGCGGUGAAAGGCUCGGGCUCAACCGGAGCAGUGCCGUUGAUACUGGUUGUCUUGAAUGCGGUCAAGGCCGGCGGAAUGUGGCGUGUAGCGGUGAAAUGCAUAGAUAUGCCACAGAACACCGAUAGCGAAGGCAGCUGGCCGGGCCUGCAUUGACGCUCAGGCACGAAAGCGUGGGGAUCGAACAGGAUUAGAUACCCUGGUAGUCCACGCUGUAAACGAUGGACACUCGUUGUCGGCGACAGACAGUCGGCGGCCAAGCGAAAGUGAUAAGUGUCCCACCUGGGGAGUACGGUCGCAAGGCUGAAACUUAAAGGAAUUGACGGGG